CGCAUCCUGAGGCCUCCCGGGUCCCCCCCACGCACAUGCUGAGGCCUCCCAGGUCCCCCUCACGCACAGGCUGAGGCCUCCAGGCUCAGCCCUCCUGCCAUCCUCCGCACUGACUCCUUCAGCAAGCAGCACUUCUUGCAGAUGCAGAAGCAGCAGUGACAGACCACUCUGCUGCCCCCACCACCCCCGGUCCUGAAGGCGAUCGCCAAAUGAUCCAGCCUAGAGCCCAGAUGUUAGGAGAGCCCACAGCCUUCUCACCCCCAUGGCCCGCCCAGCACAGGGACACUCACGAGGGAGCUUGACGAUCUCGUUGAAGAACCUCUCCUUGAGCAUGGCAAACACGUCCUCCUUGCCCUCGCCCGCACCCCCGCUCUCUGUGGAGUUGUCUGCCGGGCCGGCGGGCACGGUGGUGGUGGCGGGAGCCACCAUGGGCUCCUGGUUCCUCUUGAAGAUGCUCCUCAUGGUGGCAGAAGGAACAGCUGCGGGUGAAGGGGGCAGGGUGAGCAUCCCAGAGGCCCGAGCGCAGAUGGCUCUGCCCACAGACUGCGGAAGGCUCUUCCAGACGCUAAGACUGUGGACAAAGGCCGGAUGUGACAGGCCCACAGCAGACAUCCUUCUGAUGGUGAAGAACUGCAGCCUCACCUCUAAGAUCAGGACGAAGACAAUGGUGUCCACUCUCGCCACUGUUACUCAACAUAGUAUUGGAAGUCCUAGCUACGGCAGUUAGAGAAGAACAAGAAAUAAAAGGAAUCCAGAUUGGAAAGGAAGAAGUAAAACGGUCACUGUUCACAGAUGACGUGAUACUAUAGAAAAUCUUAACAGUGCUACCAGAGAACCACUAAAGCUAACGUUGCACAAAAUUAAUAUACAGAAAUCCCUUGGUUCCUAUACAUUAACAACAAAAGAACAGAAAGAGAAGUGAAGGGGAAAAUUCCAUUUACCAUCACAUCAAAAAGAAUAAAAUACCUAGGAGUAAACCUACCUAAGGAGGCAAAAGACCUGCACUCAGAAAACUAUAAAACACUGAUGAAAGAAACAAAAGACAGACAGAUGAAGAGACACGUCGUGCUCUCAGAAGAAUCAAUAUUGUCAAAAUGACUCUACUGCCCAAAGUAAUCUCCAGACUAAGUUCAAUGCAAUCCCUAUCAAAUUACCAAUAGCACUUUUCACAGAAUUAGAACAAAAAAAAUUAUAAUUUUUAUAAUUUUGGAACUUACGGAAACACAAAAGACCCCAAACUGCCAAAGCAAUCUUGAGAAAGAAAAAUGUAGCUGGAGGAAUCGGGCUCCUUGAAUUCAGACUAAACUACAAAGCUACAGUCAUCAAAACAGUAUGGUACUGGCACGAAAAACAGAAAUCUAGAUCAGUGGAACAGGGCAGAAACUCCAGAGAUGAACCCGCUCACCUGUGGGCACCUUAUCUUUGAUAAAGGAGGCCAGCCAGAAUAUGCAAUGGCAUAAAGACAGCCUCUUCAAUAAGUGGUGCUAGGAAAACAGGACACCUACAUGUAUAAGAAUGAAACUAGAACACUUCCUAACACCAUAACACAAAGUCAACUCAAGAUGGAUUAAAGACCUAAAUGUAAGACCAGACAGCUAUAAAGCUCUUCAAGGAAAACAUGACAUAAGUUUGACAUAAAUUGCAGCAAGAUCUUUUUUGACCCAUUUUCUAGAGUAGUAAGAAUAAAAACAAAAAUAAAUGAGAUCUAAUUAAACCUUAAAACUUUUGCACAGCAAAGGAAACCAUAAGCAAAAAGACAACCCACAAAAUGGAAGAAAAUAUUUGCAAAGACUGACAAAGGAUUAAUCUCCAAAAUAUACAAAUGGCUCAUGUAACUCGACAUAAAAAAAUUUUAAAGGGGGCAGAAGAUCUAAACAGACAUUUCUUCAAAGAAGACAUACAGUUGGCUAAAAAGCACAUGAAAAAAUGUUCACCAUCAAUAAUUGUUAGAGAAAUACAAAUCUAAACUCCAGUGGGGUAUCACCUCACACCAGUCAGAAUGGCCAGCAUCAAAAAGUCUACAAACUGAAUCCUGGAAAGAAGGGAACCCUCCUACACUGUUGGUGGGAAUGCAAAUUGUUACAUCCACUAUGGAGAACAGUAUGGAGGUUCCUUAAAAUAUUAAAGACAGAACUACCACAUGACCCUGAAACCCCGCUCCUGGGCGUAUGCCUGGAGAAAGCCGUAACUUGGAAAGACACGUGCGCCCCGGCGUCCACUGCAGCAGUGCUCACAACGGCCAAGACGCAGAAGCAGCGUGAACGUCCGUCAGCUGCAGUGGGUAAAGAGGGCGUGGUGCGUGCACGCCGUGGGGUGUCACUCAGCCCUGCAGAGGACGCACUGAUGACCCGGAGAGGAUCAUACUGAGUGAAGUCAGUCAGACAGAGAUGAAUAUAUCACUCGUGUGGAAUGUGAAAGAAAUGGGACAAAUGAACUUAUUUACAAAACAGAAAUGUAGUCACAGAUGUAGAAAAUAAACAUGGUUAACAAGGGGGGAAGGGAUGGGAGGGAUAAAUUGGGAGAUUGGGACUGACAGAUACACACGGCCGUGUGUAAAAUAGAUAUACAUAUAAGGACCUACUGUAUAGCACACGGAACUACUCGACACUCUGUAGGGACUUAUAUGGGAACGAAUCUAAAAAAGUGUGGCUCUCUGUGUAUUAUAAUAGAUGUGAUACACCUGAAACAUGAUACUGUAAAUC